UCCCUGAUGGUCCAGUGGUUAAGACGCCGAGCUCUCAGUGCGGGGAGCACGGGUUUGAUCCCUGGUCAGGGAA
rnacentral:tRNA from 1 species